GUCACAUGGCUGAGGCCAGAGUCAAUGAAGAGAGGAUACUACAAGGGCAUAAGUAUAGUAAAGCAUGUCCUGUGGGGGCUUCCAAGGAAGGAAUGGUCUGAACAUAAGAAGAUCUUAAGACCAUGACUCUAUGCUGAUUGGAUAAACCUCUAGUUCCAAUUCAACACCUCAAGAUUCUUUCCAGUCUUCUCUCUUUCCGUUCUUAUGGAGAGGCCCAUGUACAGCAGAAAUAGAAUCUCCCAUCAAAAGCCAUCAAGGAACUGGGAUUUGCCAACAAUGACAUGAGUAAUCUUGGAAGUACAUUCUUCAGCCCAAAUGGAGCCUAAAGAUAGCUGCCUCUCUGGCCAACAGGUUGACUUGCAAUCACGUGGGAGACCCUCAACUAGACCUUCCCGCUAAGCCACUCCUGGAUUGCUGGCCCACAGAAAUUGGGAGAUAUUAAA